CAUAAGCUUGGAAAUAUCGACACUGUCGACAACGUUUCAAUCAUUAACCAUAUCCAUCACACAACUGCUUUACUCUCAUAUGAAUAUGGAUAAUUCUUACAAGACUCUAGAGGUGUCCAAGGAAAGUCCCUCAUCCCUCUAUCGUGUACCUCAAGAAAUACACUUAGAAAGUAGGGGAAUCCCAAAACACUAUUGAUCACGUGCGAUCUGUUGUAUUUAUGUCAUAACAUUGCGUAUCUUUUAAUAUUAUGUGUCACGUGUAUGUAAAACGAGAUUUGAAGUUGUUGCAGUAAUAAAAAUUUAUGACACCUAUAGUUGGACAAUUUAACCUUGUCUUUAAUACCAUUAUAUUUUACAUGAUUUCUAACCUCAAAUAUGUACACUGUGUAUAUUAACCUUUGAAGUGUGAAAUUAUACAUUGAUGAAUUCUGAUGUAAACCUUCACAAAUGUAUGUUACAAAAUGAAUAAUCGUACUUAAUCAUUCAUAUUAUAAUUCUAAGAGGGAGAAAAGGUAUGAUACACGUGUAUAUACAUGUAUAAAUUCAUAUUAACAUUGCAAGUUUAAAGGACCACUAAGUUAAUAUACAAUCUUAACACAAAAGUAAGAUGAGUGAUAUCAGUGAAGAGAUUUCUGAUGCACAAAGUGAGAAAGGUGAAGAUUUUACAGUCGAUAAUUAUGAUAAAGAAACAGAUAGCAAUGAUUCCUGGUGUGAUGUUUCAGAGUCCAAUAAUGAUGAAAAUACUCCUCAAAAUGAUGAAAUGAAAGUGGAUGAACAACCGCAGAAUGGAUCUGUGCUCGCUGGAGGCCACAGAUUUGACAGGACAUUGAUAUGCGUUAAAUAUCCUGGAAAUGUUAUUAAUCCAGAGAAAGCUGUUGAAACUUUAGGCGGUAUCCAUAAUAUUUCAACAGCAGUGGAUACUUCAAAUCGACGUCUGGAAUUGAGAUUUAGGCCAGAUGAUGUUUAUUGUAAACCAACUUGUGGUGACAGACAUAAUACUAAUGGGUUUCUGCUUAGAGUUCGAAUUAAAAGAAGAUCAAAAGAAACAGAUGCAUCUCAAGCAAGCGAACCAUCCACAAGCAGUGCAAACAUAAAUAAUGAAACUGAUAACAAAACAAAUGAUAAAACUAAUAAGCACUUUUCAAAAAUGCCUGAUAUGUCUCAAAGCUGUGAUAUUCAUAACACAAACAAAGAUAAAGAUGAACAACUUGUAUCUGAAUUGGUUAAUCAAGUACAAAGUUGCAGCGUUAAAAGUUCAGAUGACAUAUGUUCUUCUCAUAAUUUAUUCUCUGAAAUUGAGUCUAAAGAAUCACCAAAUGUAUCCAUAGACACAGGCGAUACAACUUCACCAAAACCAAAAAACAUUAUGCCUACAUUUGAUCGUAAUAAAUAUCAAGACCUAUCUGAUGAUAAAGACUAUCAACUGCCAGAAUUAACAGUUUUAGGAAAAGUUAAUACAGAAUUUAGAUUUACGAAUCUUUGUGAUUUUCAAUAUUUACCAAUGGCUCCAUGCAAAGAUGACCCUAAAACAUUAAAGUGCAUAUAUGACCAAAUUUAUCCACACAAUAUACUACAUUAUUCUUGGUUAAAGAAUGAUGUACCUUACUUCUUACCACCAGCUGCGUUCAGCAGAAUGGACACUGUACAACAAUAUACGCCAAAAACUGAAGUAAAUUCAUACCCAGAAAACGUAAUAGGCAAAAGUAGAAAACGGAAAGCGGGUUUUUCAAAUUUUAUAUAUUUUUCUACACCUGAAGUUCCUACAAAACCACCAGCAGGGAUAGAAACUGCUAUGAAAGUGAAAUUUGUUCGAAACGCUGACUUUGAACAGAUGCGUCAAAUAUUUGAAGAGCGACCGAUCUGGUCCAAAAAUGCGUUGAUGUAUAUAACAAAAUUUUCUAGCGAUCGAUUAAAAAUUUUAUUACCGUCUGUAGCAUAUUACUUUAUGACUGGCCCAUGGAAAAUUAUGUGGGUGAGAUUGGGAUAUGAUCCAAGAAAAGACAGUUCCGCAAGGAAAUACCAAACCUUGGAUUAUAGAUUGAAAGCAAUGCAUGGUCUGGGAUCCACUGUCAAAUGUAAAAGGAAUUAUGCAAAUUAUACAUUACCAUAUAAAUCAACGCCAGCUGCAAAACAAAAAACAAUUAUAUCAAAUGCCGGUUUCAGCCAAGAGCAGAUGUAUAAAAAAGAACAAGAUUUAAAUGAGAAUGCGUAUAUUUAUAGAAAUGGAACAAUACCACCUUCCAGACAAAUGUUUUAUCAAUACUGCGAUGUCCUGGUAGAUGAAAUACAAGAGAUGUUGGCGAAAUUACCAGAUCCUGCACCUGGCAUAAGAUGCCACGAGAAAAGAGGCUGGUUACCAAGUGGUUUCGAUGCACAAUGCAGAGAGAUUAUUAAUAAACAAGUUCGAGCUGUUCUAAGAAAGCAAAUGAAUAUACCCGAAGACCAUCCCACGUCUAUGCCUAGAAAGCGUGGAAUAAAACGUGGGAUUAAACCAAAGCGUAGUAUGCUUGACAGCAAAGCGAGGAAAAGAAAAAAAGAAUCACCUUCCACUAGUACUGUUACAGAAGAAAUGUCUAACACGAUAAAGAAGAAGAAGAAGAAGCAUCAUGAGUCAGAAAUUACGACAUAGGACAAACAACUCGUGAUUCUGGUUGCUAGAAUAAGUUUAACGAAGUGUCUGCGGGGAAGGGAGAGAAUUAUUGCAGCGAUACCAGCGUUGCUGAAUAACCGUAGCCUUGAACAUCUGACAUUUAGCAUCUCUUCGGAUUAAAAAUAACAAAAUGAUCAAGUACAACUUUUCGCGCCAGUUGACACGUGCCUCAUUAACUGACCCUGAAGAUGGCUC
rnacentral:misc_RNA from 1 species